rnacentral:rRNA from 1 species
CCUACGGGAGGCAGCAGUGGGGAAUAUUGCACAAUGGGGGAAACCCUGAUGCAGCGACGCCGCGUGAGUGAAGAAGUAUCUCGGUACGUAAAGCUCCAUCAGUAGGGAAGAAAAUGACGGUACCUGACUAAGAAGCCCCGGCGAACUACGUUCCAGCAGCCGCGGCAACACGUAGGGGGCAAGCGUUAUCCGGAUUUACUGGGUGUAAAGGGAGCGUAGACGGCAGCACAAGUCUGUAGUGAAAUCCCGGGGCUUAACCCCGGAACUGCUUUGGAUACUGUGCGGCUGGAGUGCAGGAGGGGUAGGCGGAAUUCGUGGUGUAGCGGUGAAAUGCGUAGAUAUUAGGAAGAACACCGGUGGCGAAGGCAGCUUACUAGACUGUAACUGACGUUGAGGCUCGAAAGCGUGGGGAGCAAACAGGAUUAGAUACCCCUGUAGUC